UACGUAGUGACCAAGCGUUGUUCGGAUUUACUUGGCGUAAAGGGCGCGUAGGCGGCUUGACAAGUCACUUGUGAAAUCUCCGGGCUUAACUCGGAACGGCCAAGUGAAACUGUCAUGCUAGAGUGCAGAAGGGGCAAUCGGAAUUCUUGGUGUAGCGGUGAAAUGCGUAGAUAUCAAGAGGAACACCUGAGGUGAAGACGGGUUGCUGGGCUGACACUGACGCUGAGGCGCGAAAGCCAGGGGAGCAAACGGG
rnacentral:rRNA from 1 species